UGAUAGUCACGUGAUCCGGUGCAUGUGACUCUGUUUUGAGAGGACAAACAAAAGAGAAGAAAGUCCUGCAGGUAGCCUGAAGCUGCAAGCCUUCCUCCAUUUUAAAACUACUCUUUAUAUCUAUAUUGAUUGGUACCACGCCCAAUGGAAAAGCUACUAGUCCUACCACUUCUCUUGACCCUCUUCUCGGUAUUUUUCCAGCCAGUCAGUGCUUACAGAUUUGGUGUUGGAGAUGGUCUUGCUAUAGUCCUGUUUGUUGUCAUUGGAGUGAUUGCGAUAUGCGCUCUGUUGGGCUGGAUCUCUAGGAAAAGAGCUGGACGUUAAUUGGAGAAAACCAUCACUACUGCAAACGAAUGGAUAGAUACAUUAAAGCUUGCACACUAUAAAUUAUCUAUAUUAUUAUUAUCAUAUUAUUAUUAUUGUUAUGUUAAUUCUAAUUGAUGUACAUGUGUUUGUACAUGCAUACAUGCUGAAAAUAUUAUUAUAAUUUUUUUUCCUAUUUUUCUUUUUUUUUUGGUUGUAAUUUACGUGUGAUUUAUUGUAAA